rnacentral:rRNA from 1 species
AUGGGGAAUUAUGGCGCAGACUUGUUUGGAAUCAGUGGUGUGUAUAGGUUGCAAGGAAAAGGACUUCUGUAUCAUUCUUCUUUUGAUUAUUUGGCUCGGUGGUCUAGCUGGAUUCCAACAAUUUUUUUAUGUGCUGGCUUGAUUGGAAUUAGUGGUCGAGCUAGGUUCCAGGGAGGAGGGAUGUUUGAUUAUAUGUUGGAUGAAUUUGUCAACAUGACCUUCAUCUGCUCCUUUGCUUUUAGAUGGUUCACAUGGUCAUGUCUGCAGCUUCAGAAGAGAUUGCAGAUCAUAAGAUCGCAAGGCUAA